rnacentral:rRNA from 1 species
AACGAACGCUGGCGGCAGGCCUAACACAUGCAAGUCGAACGCUCUAGCAAUAGAGAGUGGCAGACGGGUGGGUAACGCGUGGGAACCUUCCCUAUGGUGUGGAAUAACUCGCCGAAAGGCGAGCUAAUACCGCAUAAGCCCGCAAGGGGAAGAUUUAUCGCCAUAGGAUGGGCCCGCGUAGGAUUAGCUAGUUGGUGAGGUAACGGCUCACCAAGGCGACGAUCCUUAGCGGUUUGAGAGAAUGACCAGCCACACUGGGACUGAGACACGGCCCAGACUCCUACGGGAGGCAGCAGGUGGGGAAUCUUGGACAAUGGGCGCAAGCCUGAUCCAGCCAUGCCGCGUGAGUGACGAAGGCCUUAGGGUUGUAAAGCUCUUUUGGCGGGGACGAUAAUGACGGUACCCGCAGAAUAACGCCCCGGCUAACUUCGUGCCA